AUAUUUUUCUUUGAACAUUAUAGGCUACCAUAUCAAGCGAUUUUCGGCGGUGCUGGUGCAUUCCGAAAAGAAGAUUUUGAGAAAAUAAAUGGAUUUUCCAACCAAUUCUGGGGCUGGGGUGGCGAAGAUGAUGAUCUUUAUAGAAGGUACAGUUUAAGGAGCAAAUAGUUUGAAAUAUAAGCUUCUGUGGUUAACGUUUGUGUCUGAAGUACAUGAAAAACAUGUUAAAAGCCUUUGCGUUUCAAACAAAAUGCAUUCAAUGUAAACUUUGUAACGAAGGACCUUUGGUCAAAAGGCCCAAACCUAGGUAGUUUAAACAAAAAUCUUGGAACUUUACUGCAGAGUACAGAAUAUACUACUUGCCCUAGACCUCCACGUUUGAGAUAUCUUUUUCAGGUAGUUCAGACACAAACCACGACAGCUUACUGUAUAAUACUACCUACACUGGACCACCACAUUUGAGAGAUCGUUUUCAGGUAGUUCAGACACAAACCACGACAGCUUAAUGUAGAAUAAUAUACAUACCUACACUGGACAACCACAUUUGAGAGAUCGUUUUCAGGUAGUUCAGACACAAACCAACGCAGGUGCUAUAGAAUAUCACCUACCCCUUGUAACAGUCCUACUGUAAUACAGUUUUAAGCUCAAUAUUUCUUCUAUUAGGAUAACCGCGAAAGGAUUUAAACUAACUCGACCAGGCAUGGCGGUUGGAAGGUACAAAAUGAUUAGAAUAUUUCACCAGAGCGCCAAGGCUGAUCCUUUGAG